CCUACGGGGGGCAGCAGUGGGGAAUAUUGCACAAUGGGGGAAACCCUGAUGCAGCGACGCCGCGUGAGUGAAGAAGUAAUUCGUUAUGUAAAGCUCUAUCAGCAGGGAAGAAAAUGACGAUACCUGAAUAAGACUCCCCGGCUAACUACGUGCCAGCAGCCGCGGUAAUACGUAGGGGGCAAGCGUUAUCCGGAUUUACUGGGUGUAAAGGGGGCGUAGACGGUAGGGCAAGUCUGGAGUGAAAGGCGGGGGCUCAACCCCGGGACUGCUCUGGAAACUGUACGGCUGGAGUGCAGGAGAGGUAAGUGGAAUUCCUAGUGUAGCGGUGAAAUGCGUAGAGAUUAGGAGGAACACCAGUGGCGAAGGCGGCUUACUGGACUGUAACUGACGUUGAGGCUCGAAAGCGUGGGGAGCAAACAGGAUUAGAUACCCGUGUAGUC
rnacentral:rRNA from 1 species